AUUGAACGCUGGCGGCAGGCCUAACACAUGCAAGUCGAACGAGCGGCGGACGGGUGAGUAAUGUCUGGGAAACUGCCUGAUGGAGGGGGAUAACUACUGGAAACGGUAGCUAAUACCGCAUACCAUCGGAUGUUCCCAGAUGGGAGUAGCUUGUAGGUGGGGUAACGGCUCACCGAGGCGACGAUCCCUAGCUGGUCUGAGAGGAUGACCAGCCACACUGGGACUGAGACACGGUCCAGACUCCUACGGGAGGCAGCAGUGGGGAAUAUUGCACAAUGGGCGCAAGCCUGAUGCAGCCAUGCCGCGUGUGUGAAGAAGGCCUUCGGGUUGUAAAGCACUUUAAGUUGGGAGGCGUUACCAACAGAAUAAGCACCGGCUAACUUCGUGCCAGCAGCCGCGGUAAUAC
rnacentral:rRNA from 1 species